UAGUAAUUGAGUUGAGUAAAGUCAGUACAAAAUUGAAUAAACCCAUUCAUUUAUGUAGGUUUUAGUGUUUUGGAAAUUUCAAAAACCAUUUUAUAUGACUUCCAAUUGAAAACACGAAUUGUUAGAUGUAGAUACUGACUCACCAAUUUACCACUUUUUCACCGAUGACAUAAACAUAUUAAAGAAAUAAAAAAGAAGUACAUACAUUUUAUACUUCUGACUUUGCUGUAAAUAACAAAUUUGAAAUUUCAUCAGCAUAUAAAAAAAUUUUAGGUUUGAUGAAAGAUGGAAAUAAUGAAAGAAUUUCAAAAGAGUGUAAAUCUGAAGUCAAAAAUGUAUACAAUAAAAAGAGGGGGUGAAGAGGAUGAUGAGAAAAAGAAUAAGGCAUAGCAAAAGCUUCUUUUUAAACAAAAUGAAUCAUCUCAUCCAAGAGAACAACAUAAGCAACCAUAACACACAACAACAAAACUCAUCAAAUGAAUGGCGUGUACAACUGACAGGUUACAGAGAAAGAAUUUCAUUUGAGAGGAAUUUGAGGGACAACUUGUUGAGAAGGAAACCAUCACCUCCACCUAUGCUGCAGCUAUCGUGAGAUGGAUUUUAGUGAUGUGUAUGAAGAUAUGUUAUUGAAGGUAUGUGCGGCAAGGAAAGGGCGCUACUAGAACUUUGAGAAUGUAUGAACUUGAAAACUGAUGAAUCUAUAAAAAAUGUGUUACAUUGUAAAAUUUUUAAUUUUUCGAAAGAAAAUAAAAGUUUUUAAAUAC